rnacentral:rRNA from 1 species
UACGAAGGGGGCUAGCGUUGCUCGGAAUCACUGGGCGUAAAGGGUGCGUAGGCGGGUCUUUAAGUCAGGGGUGAAAUCCUGGAGCUCAACUCCAGAACUGCCUUUGAUACUGAAGAUCUUGAGUCCGGGAGAGGUGAGUGGAACUGCGAGUGUAGAGGGUGAAAAUUCGUAGAUAUUCGCAAAGAACACCAGUGGCGAAGGCGGCUCACUGGCCCGGUACUGACGCUGAGGUGCGAAAGCGUGGGGAGCAAACA